rnacentral:rRNA from 1 species
UACGUAGGGGGCAAGCGUUGUCCGGAUUUAUUGGGCGUAAAGAGCGUGUAGGCGGCCAAACAGGUCAGCUGUGAAAACUCGAGGCUCAACCUCGGAACUGCCUUUGAUACUGGGGAUCUCGAGUCCGGGAGAGGUGAGUGGAACUGCGAGUGUAGAGGUGAAAUUCGUAGAUAUUCGCAAGAACACCAGUGGCGAAGGCGGCUCACUGGCCCGGUACUGACGCUGAGGUGCGAAAGCGUGGGGAGCAAACAGG